rnacentral:tRNA from 1 species
GGAGAGGUGACCGAGUGGCUGAAGGUGCCCGCCUGGAAAGCGAGUAGACGUUAACGCGUCUCGUGGGUUCAAAUCCCACUCUCUCCGCCA